AAACCAUACAGUUAGACAUUUUAGCUAGCGUUAUGUAGAUAACAUCUAUCAACCAAGUCCUGUCUGCAACGCGAAUUAAACACUACGUGGGAACCUGAGCCCUAGGACCAUACGUCAGGACUACCGGGCAUGCUGACACCUUGCUGUCCCCAGUCCGCCCGGCCUUGCUGCUAUUCCAGUUUCAACUGUUUCUGCCUGCGGUUACGAAACCCCUACCUGUCCCAGACCUGCUGUUUUCAACUCUUAAUGAUCGGCUAUGAAAAGCCAACUGAGAUUUAUUCCUGAUUAUUAUUUGACCAUGCUUGUCAUUUAUGAACAUUUUGAAAAUCUUGGCUCUCUCUAAUUUUCUCCUUCUCUCUUUCUUUCUCUCGGAGGACCUGGGCCCUGGACCAUGCGUCGGGACUGCCGCCCGUGGUGACUCCUUGCUGUCCCCAGUCCGCCUGGCCUUGCUGCUAUUCCAGUUUCAGCUGUUCUGCCUGCGGUUAUGGAACCGCCACCUGUCCCAGACCUGUUGUUUUUCAACUCUUAAUGAUCAGCUAUGAAAAGCCAACUGAAAAUUAUUCAUGAUUAUUAUUUGACCAUGCUUGUCACUUAUGAACAUUUUUGAACAUCUUGGCAUAGUUCUGUUAUAAUCUCCACCCGGCACAGCCAGAAGAGGACUGGCCACCCCUCAUAGCCUGGUUCCUCUCUAGGUUUCUUCCUAGGUUUUGGCCUUUCUAGGGAGUUUUUCCUAGCCACCGUGCUUCUACACCUGCAUUCUAGCUGUUUGGGGUUUUAGGCUGGGUUUCUGUACAGCACUUCGAGAUAUUAUCUGAUGUACGAAGGGCUAUAUAAAAUAAAAUUGAUUGAUUGAUUGAUUGAUUGAAUUAAUUCACACAUAAAACGGUCAACCGAA